rfam:Triticum aestivum genome assembly, contig: Triticum_aestivum_CS42_TGACv1_scaffold_499341_6BL
AUAAUACUCCCUCCAUCCCAAAAUUUUUGUCUUCGAUUUGUCUAAAUGCAGAUGUAUCUAGUUACAUUUUAGUGUUAGAUACGUCUGUAUCUAGACAAAUGUAAGACAAUAAUUUUGGGACGGAGGGAGUACUAG